UAGGAGAGUAUUUAGCAAAUUCAAUCUCUUGUCCGUUUUGUCACUUAAAAUGUGGUUAGAAAGUCCUUAUGGAAGAUACUAGUGGCUUUUUCUUGACCGUGUGGUUUUGUAUGGCGGUGAGGGGUGGUGUUUUUUUCCAAGUGGUCCUUCUAUAGUCAUGAGACUUCCUGUAAUGGUCUCCUCUCCUUGCCUAUGUUAUUGAUUAUGUGGUUUGGUUCUUGUGGGAUGAGAGCUUCGCUUCGUGGAUCUGUGGCGGCAUGAAAUGGCGCAUAUGGAUGGUACGAUGGUAGCAUAUGUUAAAUCCCAUUUAAUUGAUGGGUCUACAUGGACAUGGUGGAUCUGUUUUUGUGGAGAUUUUUGGGAGUGUUUCACUUUAUGACAUUUUUCUUUCUUCUGACUCUGAAAUAAUAUUCAUCUGCCUACAAAAAUUCUUUUUAUCCUAAUUUCUAAAUCACAAUUACAAAUCUUCAAUAGUUUUCUAUAAAAAUGAAAACUUUUCAAAUAACAGU
rnacentral:lncRNA from 1 species